GAUGAACGCUGGCGGCGUGCCUAAUACAUGCAAGUCGAGCGAAUGGAUUAAGAGCUUGCUCUUAUGAAGUUAGCGGCGGACGGGUGAGUAACACGUGGGUAACCUGCCCAUAAGACUGGGAUAACUCCGGGAAACCGGGGCUAAUACCGGAUAACAUUUUGAACCGCAUGGUUCGAAAUUGAAAGGCGGCUUCGGCUGUCUCUUAUGGAGGGACCCGCGUCGCAUUAGCUAGUUGGUGAGGUAACGGCUCACCAAGGCAACGAUGCGUAGCCGACCUGAGAGGGUGAUCGGCCACACUGGGACUGAGACACGGCCCAGACUCCUACGGGAGGCAGCAGUAGGGAAUCUUCCGCAAUGGACGAAAGUCUGACGGAGCAACGCCGCGUGAGUGAUGAAGGCUUUCGGGUCGUAAAACUCUGUUGUUAGGGAAGAACAAGUGCUAGUUGAAUAAGCUGACACCUUGACGGUACCUAACCAGAAAGCCACGGCUAACUACGUGCCAGCCGCCGCAGUAA
rnacentral:rRNA from 1 species